UUUACUGCUUUUCUAAGUGCAAGAAGAUGUAAGAAAUUACAUUCAUAAAAUUUUCUCCUGAAAUGAUCUACUACCUAAAGGCUUGAUCUGUCAGUUUUCCCAGAGCACAGAAGAGUGCCGCCUUCCUGAUCCCCACCCUAACCUCCUUUCAGGGUGUAUUAAAGUUCAGUGGCUUCAUUCCUGUGGAACCAGAUGGAAAGGGACUUCUUAGCUGUCAUCCUGAAGGAGGAUUGUCAGAGCUCAUGUGGACAAAAAAUGUUUGGUGCUUUGUUUAUGUUGUUCUUAAAAUCACAAGAAAAAUCAAGACUUAAAAAAAUAUAUAUAUUCCAGGUGCCUGCUGUUGGGGGGUUAAUAAAGUUAUUCUACUAUAUUCAAUUGAAGAAAUCACUGAUAAAAUCUUAAGAGUUCUUUUUUUUUUGUCUCAAUUGGCAGAAACAUCUACCCUCUUCUAGCUACUUAAUAGGGAUUUUGUCAAUUUUUCAUUAGAACUUAAAAGUCACUUUAGUUGACUCAGACCAUACCCUGUGGUGCCCUAUAAAACAGCAGACAGCAACACUUUUGGCAUCGGAAGUGGAAUUAAGCAUCUUUUGUCAUCUCACUCUCCUCCAGGUAUUUCAUUGGUACCUCAAGAUCAUCCAUGAAGCAGCCAUGUUCGUCCCUUCCCGUUGUUCAUAUGAACCUCGCCCUUCCCCUCUGCAUUGCCUUGUCCCCAUCUGUGCAGCACUGAAGUUUGCUAACUUAGAAUAUGUCAUUGUGUCAGUGGAAAACCACUUCCAUAUUUCACAUUCAAGACAUUCAGACCUACAUUGCUUUUCUUUUCCACAAAGCAACUGUCAAAUUUUACUUUCAGGAAAGUUGCAAUGAGAAACAAAAUAUCUAAAGUCUUGAAAAUGAUAGCAAUUUCAGCCCAUUUGCCUUCCUUUACUUCCUAUAUUUUUCUUACCUCAUCAUGAAUUUGAACUUUCCCUAUAAGCCCCCGAAAGGGAAUAUAAUUUCUAAAAAAUUUAAGUGAAUAAUCACACACAAAUAAAGAAAAGAAGACAAUUUCUCCCUUGGCAAUAGCCCAGGCCACACUGCCCUGCAUUCUCAGAGAUAGAAAGAGACAAAGGAAGAGAGAAACCCAGCCGGAUCCACUGAUGAAUGAACAAUGGAAGACCACUAGUUUCUGUGACAUAAGCUUCUCAUGAGAGACAGAUUCAUCACUGAAUCUCCCACCUUCAGCUGAGAAACUUUGAGAAUAACAAGCGUUCAUUUGUUUAAAGAAAAGAUCUGACUAACAAAAUUUGUAUUGACAAACACAAAUUAUUUGUCUACUCAAACUGAAAUGAUUUCAGUUGAAUAAGUCCUCACAGCUGGAUACAGAACAAACAUUUGCUCUCAGCAUCUGAGGGCUGCUCAGCUUUGAUACCUGAGGACACAGGUCAGGAGAGGAGGAGGUCACCACUGAGGACUAGGGUCCUUCAUGCAAACUCUCUAGGGGCAAAGGCAGGAGUCCGGGAGGAUGAAUUACAUUCCCAAUAAAUAAAUAGGCCCCUCCACAGUGAGGAGAUUUUAAAGUCCUCAGGAU
rnacentral:lncRNA from 1 species